UACGUAGGGUGCGCGCGUUGUCCGGAAUUACUGGGCGUAAAGAGCUCGUAGGUGGUUUGUCGCGUUGUUCGUGAAAACUCACAGCUUAACUGUGGGCGUGCGGGCGAUACGGGCAGACUGGAGUACUGCAGGGGAGACUGGAAUUCCUGGUGUAGCGGUGGAAUGCGCAGAUAUCAGGAGGAACACCGGUGGCGAAGGCGGGUCUCUGGGCAGUAACUGACGCUGAGGAGCGAAAGCGUGGGGAGCGAACAGG
rnacentral:rRNA from 1 species